GUGCUCGCUUUGGCAGCACAUAUACUAAAAUUGGAGCAAUACAAAGAAGAUAAGUGUGGCCUCUGCACAAGGAUGACCUGCAAAUUUUUGAAUUGUUCCAUAUUAAA